rnacentral:rRNA from 1 species
AAUGAACGUUGGCGGCGUGGAUUAGGCAUGCAAGUCGAGCGAGAACCCCGCAAGGGGGGACAGCGGCAAACGGGGUGGUAAUGUGUCGGAACGUGCCCUGAGGUGGGGGAUAGCGGCGGGAAACUGCCGGUAAUACCCGAUGAUCUCGAGAGAGCAAAGGUGUGAUUCCGCCUUUGGACCGGCCGACAUGGUAUUAGCUAGUUGGCGGGGUAACGGCCCACCAAGGCUGUGAUGCCUAGGGGAUGUGAGAGCAUGAUCCCCACCAUUGGGACUGAGACACUGCCCAGACACCUACGGGUGGCUGCAGUCGAGAAUCUUCGUCAAUGGGCGAAAGCCUGAACGAGCGACGCCGCGUGUGGGAUGAAGGCCUUUGGGUUGUAAACCGCUGUCGAGGGGGAUGAAGGCUGGAGGGUACUCCUUCCAGUUUGACAGAGCCCUGGAGGAAGCACGGGCUAAGUUCGUGCCAGCAGCCGCAGUAAUAC